rnacentral:rRNA from 1 species
CGGACGGGUGAGUAAUGCUUGGGAAUCUGGCUUAUGGAGGGGGAUAACUACGGGAAACUGUAGCUAAUACCGCGUAAUAUCUUCGGAUUAAAGGGUGGGACUUUCGGGCCACCUGCCAUAAGAUGAGCCCAAGUGGGAUUAGGUAGUUGGUGGGGUAAAGGCCUACCAAGCCGACGAUCUCUAGCUGGUCUGAGAGGAUGACCAGCCACACUGGAACUGAGACACGGUCCAGACUCCUACGGGAGGCAGCAGUGGGGAAUAUUGCACAAUGGGGGGAACCCUGAUGCAGCCAUGCCGCGUGAAUGAAGAAGGCCUUCGGGUUGUAAAGUUCUUUCGGUGAUGAGGAAGGUGUUUGUUUUAAUAGAACAAGCAAUUGACGUUAGUCACAGAAGAAGCACCGGCUAACUCCGUGCCAGCAGCCGCGGUAAUACGGAGGGUGCGAGCGUUAAUCGGAAUGACUGGGCGUAAAGGGCACGCAGGCGGUGACUUAAGUGAGAUGUGAAAGCCCCGAGCUUAACUUGGGAAUUGCAUUUCAUACUGGGUCGCUAGAGUAUUUUAGGGAGGGGUAGAAUUCCACGUGUAGCGGUGAAAUGCGUAGAGAUGUGGAGGAAUACCGAAGGCGAAGGCAGCCCCUUGGGAAUAUACUGACGCUCAUGUGCGAAAGCGUGGGGAGCAAACAGGAUUAGAUACCCUGGUAGUCCACGCUGUAAACGCUGUCGAUUUGGGGAUUGGGCUUAGAGCUUGGUGCCCGUAGCUAACGUGAUAAAUCGACCGCCUGGGGAGUACGGCCGCAAGGUUAAAACUCAAAUGAAUUGACG